UUCGCAAUGCCCGAAAGGGUGACGAAGCUACGCCGCGUGUGGGAAGAAGGCCUUCGGGUUGUAAACCACUGUCGGGAGUUAAGAAAUGUAAGGAUGUUAAUAGCGUCCUUACUUGACUAAGGCUCCGGAGGAAGCCACGGCUAACUCUGUGCCAGCAGCCGCGGUAAUACAGAGGCGGCAAGCGUUGUUCGGAAUUAUUGGGCGUAAAGAGCACGUAGGCGGCCAUGUAAGUCGGUUGUGAAAGCCUUCCGCUCAACGGGAGAACAGCAGUCGAUACUGCAUAGCUUGAGUGCGGGAGGGGAGAGCGGAACUUCUGGUGGGGCGGUGAAAUGCGUAGAUAUCAGAAGGAACGCCGGCGGCGAAAGCGACUCUCUGGCCCGUAACUGACGCUGAGUGUGCGAAAGCUAGGGGAGCAAACGGGAUUAGAUACCCCGGUAGUCCUAGCCGUAAACGAUGGGCACUAAGUAGAGGGGUUUU
rnacentral:rRNA from 1 species